GAAAGCUUAAUCACAGCUGAUUGGGGGGAGUGACUCAUGCACUGGGGCUUUCCAGCUGAAGCCUUGGGGACCAACCAGGCUUGGGUUCUCCCCAAAUUAACACAAAGAAUCCAGGCUGCAACAGUUGGGAAAUGGAGGUUUAUCCAUAAACAGAAGCUUGGAGUGUCUAUAGGUGAGGAGCCGGAGAGAAUGCAUCCCAUAGGACCUGUCCACAGCUGUAUAAGUCAGGCUGGAGAACCGAAGCCAUUCCUCCCAGUGAGGUGCUGGGGUCACUGUCAAAAUACCACUUGCUUCUGCUCACCAGGAUCAAGGUUUACCAGAGUUCAACCACCAAAAGACACUGAGAGGACAGACUUCCUCCAUGUCUCCAAGGAUUCGAUCCUAUUUGGAAGCUUUAGAACAAAGAAUAAAAUCAGAGAUGAAAGGAGCCUUAGGAAUCUUCUGUGCUGGGAUAAGGGGAACAAAGAUCAAAGAAGAAAGGAACUUCCCAAGAUCACUAAGAAAAGACCAGAGUGA
rnacentral:lncRNA from 1 species